AAUCCCUCAUAGAACCUAAUAUCCAAAAAUCAUAUUCUUCUUUUAAAAUUCAUCACAAUAUAUGUAUACAAAAACUUAAAUUUAAUAUUCUUCCAUGGCUGAUCCUACAGAAGUGCCUAGCACCCCGAGUUCGGGUUCAUACCCAUAAACCACCCCCUCUCUUUAUUCAUUUUUUUCUUUUUCCUUCUUCUUUUCUUUUUCUUUUUUCCUUCUUUUCUUGUUCUUUUUUCUUCUUUUUUCUUUUUUUUUUCUUUUCUUUCCUUUCCUUUUCUUUUUCUUUUCUUCUCUUCUUCUCCAGAAACUUCUCCCGACUUCUUUCUUCCUUCCCCUUCAGCGAAAUAGGGGAUCCGUGACCCCCCUGCCCCCUUCUUCUUCCCUCUCGGUCGAGCCCAAGGGCGGCCAUGGUGGCCGGCUCUGACAGCGGCAGGAGGUGGCGGAGCAAGCCCGGCCACUCCCGGCGGCGGGCGGCGGCGGCGAACAAGGCCAGCGGCGGAGCACUCGGCCGACCGAUUUUUUUGGACCCAAGUUUCCGGCAAUUGGCCGGUUCCAAAACCUCAACACAUCAUGGCUAAUCACCAAGAGAGGAGGAGAAGGCCUUACCUCAGCCCCGACGAAAGUCCGGCAACUUUCUUCCUCUCCGGCGGUAAGGAAGAAGAAGACCCCUCGUACUGAAGAAGACCCAAAGCCCUCUCUCUCUCUUUCUCUCUCUCUCUCUCCGCC
rnacentral:lncRNA from 1 species